UUCGCCCUUAGGGUUUGAUUAUGGCUCAGGAUGAACGCUAGCGGCAGGCCUAAUACAUGCAAGUCGGACGGGAUUCAACAGCUUGCUGUUGAUGAGAGUGGCGCACGGGUGCGUAACGCGUGAGCAACCUGCCCAUUUCAGGGGGAUAGCCCGGAGAAAUCCGGAUUAAGACCGCAUAUGAUCACGUUGCCGCAUGGCAUUGUGAUGAAAUAUUCAUAGGAAAUGGAUGGGCUCGCGUGACAUUAGCUAGUUGGUAGGGUAACGGCCUACCAAGGCGACGAUGUCUAGGGGCUCUGAGAGGAGAAUCCCCCACACUGGUACUGAGACACGGACCAGACUCCUACGGGAGGCAGCAGUAAGGAAUAUUGGUCAAUGGGGGGAACCCUGAACCAGCCAUGCCGCGUGCAGGAAGACGGCCCUACGGGUUGUAAACUGCUUUUGCACGGGAAUAACCCUCACUAUGUAUAGUGAGCUGAAUGUACCGUGAGAAUAAGGAUCGGCUAACUCCGUGCCAGCAGCCGCGGUAAUACGGAGGAUCCGAGCGUUAUCCGGAAUUAUUGGGUUUAAAGGGUGCGCAGGCGGGGAUCUAAGUCAGGGGUGAAAGACGGUGGCUCAACCAUCGCAGUGCCUUUGAUACUGGAUUCCUUGAAUAUACCUGAGGUAGGCGGAAUGUGGCAAGUAGCGGUGAAAUGCAUAGAUAUGCCACAGAACACCGAUUGCGAAGGCAGCUUACCAAAGUAUGAUUGACGCUGAGGCACGAAAGCGUGGGGAUCGAACAGGAUUAGAUACCCUGGUAGUCCACGCCCUAAACGAUGAACACUCGAUGUCGGCGAUAGACAGUCGGCGUCCAAGCGAAANGCGUUAGUGUUCCACCUGGGGAGUACGCCCCGCAGGGUGAAACUCAAAGGAAUGACNGGGGCCCNGCACAGCGNNAGAGCAUGUGGUUNAAUUCGAUGAUACGCGAGGAGCCUUACCCNGGGCUGAANNGUACUGAGAUAGCAGAGAUGUUAUCGUCCUUUCGGACAGAAACUANGUGCUGCAUGGCUGUCGUCGCUCGUGCCCUNNNAGUGUGGUUUAGUCCCGCACGAGCGCAACCCU
rnacentral:rRNA from 1 species